GCGCUCCCGGAGCUGCAAACCCGGGCUUCUUCCUUCCUUCCUUCCUUUUUUUUUUUUUUUUAAAUAUUCUUUCUUUUUUAGUCCUUUUCUCCCUUUCCUCCUGCCCUGUUUCCUUUUAGUAUUUUCUUUGUGAUUGUUUUUGCAAGUUUGUUUUAAAAGUUCACUGCAUGCUUUCUUUUCUUGUAGACCGGGAGACCGUGAUCUCACCCUGACGGCUCUGGUGGCUGUUGGCAUUCCUAUGCUUGUAGCUGGUCACUCCUAUCUCCAAGGCCAGUAUCUCCAAAUCCGUCUUGGCUCCCUCCAUCUUCACAUGACCUUCUCUCUGUGUGUCAGCUAUCCCUUGGCAUCCCUCUUAUAAAUCCACUUGGGAUUAUACUCAGACCCUACCAAGGCCAGCCGCUCUAGAAGAGUCAUUCUAGCCAUGAGAACUGCAGUUGAUAUCUUUGGCUGCCACUAAAUUUUACAUGGCCUUUAUCUAUUGUCCAUUUUGCGAUGAUGAGUCAAAGCCUGAUUGCCAAAUGAAGAUGUUUUGUAAGAUUGGAUACCUGCUAAAGCUCAUUUGCAAUUGCAAAGUCUGAAGGUGCUUUAAUCCUGCCUGUGUUUACAGAAGAAUGAGACCUGGAGGACAGGUGGACAUAUCCCCUGGAGUAAAAGGCCCCAGAGAGACAAGCACAGCCAGUCACACUCCACAGUCCACAAAAGCUGUCUCAGGAGCCACCUCACUAAUUUUUUGACCCUUGUUUCCUUGUUUGUUCCCAACCCCCACCCUGCAGUAAUUUUGUUAUUUCCAUUCCAUCCUUCCCGAAGAUAAAAGACACCGUGGGCGGGAUCCAUGAAUAAAAGUUGUUAUUUAUCGAUGCUGGUUUUAGGGAACAUUUUUUCUUCUGAUUCAUGAAGUACUUCUCUGCAUUCGAAAAGCAGUUCAUAAAUCGUUCAGUACUGGCAGAAAUUAAUAAUA
ensembl:lncRNA